GGUUUCGAAAGGGGCGGAGCCCCUUCGGUUGGGACAGAGAGGCCGCGGGUUCAAAUCCCGCCGGGUCCA
rnacentral:tRNA from 1 species